UGGGGAAUAUUGCGCAAUGGGGGCAACCCUGACGCAGCCAUGCCGCGUGAAUGAAGAAGGCCUUCGGGUUGUAAAGUUCUUUCGGUGACGAGGAAGGCGUGAUGUUUAAUAAGCAUCACGAUUGACGUUAAUCACAGAAGAAGCACCGGCUAACUCCGUGCCAGCAGCCGCGGUAAUACGGAGGGUGCGAGCGUUAAUCGGAAUAACUGGGCGUAAAGGGCACGCAGGCGGCUAUUUAAGUGAGGUGUGAAAUCCCCGGGCUUAACCUGGGAAUUGCAUUUCAGACUGGGUAGCUAGAGUACUUUAGGGAGGGGUAGAAUUCCACGUGUAGCGGUGAAAUGCGUAGAGAUGUGGAGGAAUACCGAAGGCGAAGGCAGCCCCUUGGGAAUGUACUGACGCUCAUGUGCGAAAGCGUGGGGAGCAAACAGGAUUAGAUACCCUGGUAGUCCACGCUGUAAACGCUGUCGAUUUGGGGAUUGGGCCUUGAGCUUGGUGCCCGAAGCUAACGUGAUAAAUCGACCGCCUGGGGAGUACGGCCGCAAGGUUA
rnacentral:rRNA from 1 species